UACGGAGGGCGCAAGCGUUUUUCGGAAUCACUGGGCGUAAAGCGCGUGUAGGCGGCUUGGUAAGUCGGGUGUGAAAGCCCGGAGCUCAACUCCGGAACUGCACUCGAAACUGCCUCGCUCGAGUCCCGGAGAGGGUGGUGGAAUUCCCGGUGUAGAGGUGAAAUUCGUAGAUAUCGGGAGGAACACCAGUGGCGAAGGCGGCCACCUGGACGGUGACUGACGCUGAGACGCGAAAGCGUGGGGAGCAAACAGG
rnacentral:rRNA from 1 species